rnacentral:rRNA from 1 species
UACGUAGGGGGCUAGCGUUGUCCGGAAUCAUUGGGCGUAAAGCGCGUGUAGGCGGUUCGGUAAGUCCGCUGUGAAAGUCGGGGGCUCAACCCUCGGAAGCCGGUGGAUACUGUCGAGCUAGAGUACGGAAGAGGCGAGUGGAAUUCCUGGUGUAGCGGUGGAAUGCGCAGAUAUCAGGAGGAACACCCAUAGCGAAGGCAGCUUGCUGGGACGUUACUGACGCUGAGGUGCGAAAGCGUGGGGAGCAAACAGG